UGGGGAAUAUUGGACAAUGGGCGAAAGCCUGAUCCAGCCAUGCCGCGUGUGUGAAGAAGGUCUCCGGAUUGUAAAGCACUUUAAGUUGGGAGGAAGGGCAGUAAGCGAAUACCUUGCUGUUUUGACGUUACCGACAGAAUAAGCACCGGCUAACUCUGUGCCAGCAGCCGCGGUAAUACAGAGGGUGCAAGCGUUAAUCGGAAUUACUGGGCGUAAAGCGCGCGUAGGUGGUUCGUUAAGUUGAAUGUGAAAGCCCCGGGCUCAACCUGGGAACUGCAUGCAAAACUGGCGAGCGAGAGUAGGGCAGAGGGUGGUGGAAUUUCCUGUGUAGCGGUGAAAUGCGUAGAUAACGGAAGGAACACGAGUGGCGAAGGCGACCACCUGGGCUCAUACUGACACUGAGGUGCGAAAGCGUGGGGAGCAAACAGG
rnacentral:rRNA from 1 species